rnacentral:rRNA from 1 species
UCCUACGGGACGCAGCAGUAGGGAAUAUUGGGCAAUGGAAGGAAUUCUGACCCAGCCAUGCCGCGUGCAGGAUGAAGGCGCUAUGCGUUGUAAACUGCUUUUGUCAGGGAAGAAAAAGGCUAUGCGUAGCAAAUUGACGGUACCUGAAGAAUAAGCAUCGGCUAACUCCGUGCCAGCAGCCGCGGUAAUACGGAGGAUGCAAGCGUUGUCCGGAUUUAUUGGGUUUAAAGGGUGCGUAGGCGGUUUGAUAAGUCAGUGGUUAAAUAACCUUGCUUAACGAGGGAGAUGCCAUUGAUACUGUCAGACUUGAAUACUGUUUGGGUAGGCGGAAUUGGUAGUGUAGCGGUGAAAUGCUUAGAUAUUACCAGGAACACCGAUAGCGAAGGCAGCUUACUGAAGAGAUAUUGACGCUGAGGCACGAAAGUGCGGGUAUCAAACAGGAUUAGAUACCCGAGUAGUCA